CAAUAAUAAGUGAGUGGCGACCGGCGCGACGGUGAGUACACGUAUCCAACCUGCCGAUAACUCGGGGAUAGCCUUUCGAAAGAAAGAUUAAUACCCGAUGGUAUAAUAAAACCGCAUGGUUUAAUUAUUAAAGAAUUUCGGUUAUCGAUGGGGAUGCGUUCCAUUAGGCAGUUGGUGAGGUAACGGCUCACCAAACCUUCGAUGGAUAGGGGUUCUGAGAGGAAGGUCCCCCACAUUGGAACUGAGACACGGUCCAA
rnacentral:rRNA from 1 species